rnacentral:ncRNA from 2 species
AAAUCUAAAUACCUUAACAAUUCAAAUUUCGCCAUUUGGGCAAACUGGUGCAAAUCCAGUACUGUGCCGCAACUGUAAGGCGCAUAUGCGCGCUAAGUCAGAAAACCAAUGGUGAAAAGAAAACUAUU